GGAGGUGUAACUCAGUGGGAGAAUACAUGCUUUGCAUGUAUGAGGUCCUUGGUUCAAUCCCCAGCACCUCCA
rnacentral:tRNA from 1 species